AUUGAACGCUGGCGGCAGGCCUAACACAUGCAAGUCGAGCGGAUGAAGGGAGCUUGCUCCUGGAUUCAGCGGCGGACGGGUGAGUAAUGCCUAGGAAUCUGCCUGGUAGUGGGGGAUAACGUCCGGAAACGGGCGCUAAUACCGCAUACGUCCUGAGGGAGAAAGUGGGGGAUCUUCGGACCUCACGCUAUCAGAUGAGCCUAGGUCGGAUUAGCUAGUUGGUGGGGUAAAGGCCUACCAAGGCGACGAUCCGUAACUGGUCUGAGAGGAUGAUCAGUCACACUGGAACUGAGACACGGUCCAGACUCCUACGGGAGGCAGCAGUGGGGAAUAUUGGACAAUGGGGGAAAGCCUGAUCCAGCCAUGCCGCGUGUGUGAAGAAGGUCUUCGGAUUGGAAAGCACUUUAAGUUGGGAGGAAGGGCAGUAAGUUAAUACCUUGCUGUUUUGACGUUACCAACAGAAUAAGCACCGGCUAACUUCGUG
rnacentral:rRNA from 1 species